GACGAACGCUGGCGGCGUGCUUAACACAUGCAAGUCGAACGAUGAAGCCGGAGCUUGCUCUGGUGAAUUAGUGGCGAACGGGUGAGUAACACGUGAGUAACCUGCCCUUGACUCUGGGAUAACUGCUAGAAAUGGUAGCUAAUACCGGAUACGACCCUCGGAGGCAUCUUCAGGGGGUGGAAAGAAUUUCGGUCAAGGAUGGACUCGCGGCCUAUCAGCUAGUUGGUGAGGUAAUGGCUCACCAAGGCGACGACGGGUAGCCGGCCUGAGAGGGUGACCGGCCACACGAGGACUGAGACACGGCGCAGACUCCUACGGGAGGCAGCAGUGGGGAAUAUUGCACAAUGGGCGCAAGCCUGAUGCAGCAGCGCCGCGUGAGGGAUGACGGCCUUCGGGUUGUAAACCUCUUUUAGUAGGGAAGAAGCGAAAGUGACGGUACCUGCAGAAAAAGCACCGGCUAACUACGUGCCAGCCGCCGCUGUAA
rnacentral:rRNA from 1 species